rnacentral:lncRNA from 1 species
GCAAGGACACGUGCUUUAUUUCGGAAGCGAUAAUUCCAGUUCCAGGUGGACGAACCCAGGAAAAGCAGCCUCCCCUCCCCUACUCCACUCUCACCUACAGGAUGCUGAGGACAGCCCUCUUCCUGGCGACCAGCCCAUCUGCCAACAGCCCAAGUUUGCAGGCCAACGUGGAGUUCUGUCGUAUUCCUUGCAUGUUUUCAUCCUGGGGUCUGCACACACCAGUGACCCUCUAGCUCGACAUUUUAUCCGUAGUCUUUAACUCCAUUCAGUCAGGCAUUGUGGCUCACACCUGUAACUCUAACACUUGGGAAACUGAGGCAGUAAGACUGCAGUGAGUUCCAAGCCAGCCUGGGUUACAGACUGGGACCUUGUCUUGCCUCCUCCUCCCCUCCUGACCCCCCCCAAGUUCAAGAGGCAGCCAGGUGUAGUGCAUGAAUUUAAUCUCAGCACCCUGGGAAGCAAAAGUCAGGUGGAUCUCUGUGAAUUUGAGGCUAGUCUGGCAUACAGUGCGAGUUCCAGGACAGCCAGGACUACCCAGAGAAACCCUUACUUGAAAAACAAAAACAAACAAACAAACAACAAAAUGUCAAGCAAAACCAAACUCCAUUCCUUUGAAGGGAGAGUAGUGCAGCAGCUGACCUCUAGUGGUCAAGAUUGGUAGUGCAGUGCUGCUAGUCACCCAAGAUCCCGGGUCUGCCGAGACACCGAAUCCUCUGGUUAUCUUCGACUCCUGGCCUCUUUGUUCACGCUUGAUUGAGUCUGGAAAUCCUGGUGUGUGCUUUGUACCGGGACCAGGAACUCCAGAGUAAGGGGCAGCGUUAUGUCUUGUGCACAUUCUGCCCGUGUUCCACCACGCAUGCCACCAGUUAAUACUCUUGCAGCUAUUGCUCAAAUAUUUACAGUGCACCUGCCAGACCAAAGAGAUGAGAGCAGGACUCCGCCCUACGGAGCUUGCAGGCCGGCCCUGGGGCCUCGUGAUGUGCUCAAGGCCACUCGGCGUGAAUCGUGCGAGGACUUCGAGAUCACCAAGGAGCAGACAGGUGCAGUGCCUCGCCUAUGGCUUCUCUAGACUGCGAUACUUCUUGCGUUGCACCGAUACCGGGUCCUUGAACAACACCGGAUCCAGACGCACUUGAGAGGAAACCAGAGGCAUGUGGCCGAACCCUGCUGCUAAACGGUUGAUGCAGUCCUGAUCCAGGGGCUGAGGCUCCGGCACUGGUCGUGGAUCCCCAGAAUCCUAAGAGGUGAGAGGGAAACGUGUCCGUGAGGUUGGUUUUUUUAUGAACCCUCACGCUGCUGCAACAAGAUUUGGAUUAGAGAGUGAAGAGGCUCCGCCCUCUUUUCCUUCCCCAUCAGGGCUUUCCAGCCCCUGGAGUCGCCUCACCAUUGGCACAGCCUCCGGGUGCUGCCUCCCAUAAGGCACCUUGAUAGGGGGCAGUUUGGUGACGGUGGCUACCAGGAAGUUCAUCAGGACGUCAACACAGGUGGGAGUCUCAUCAGCUAUGGUCCUCAGGGCCUUAGGCAGGGAGUGGGUGAAGAGGGUGUGGUAGUACCUGUAAGAUACAUGGUAAGCCUUAGGCUGGGGGGUGGGGGGGAUGCAGGCCUCAUUCAUUUCCCUAUCUUUGACCCCAGACCCCAAGUUCCAAGACCUGUACCCCAUCCCCUAGCUCCUCUCCCAGGGUGCUCCCACCCUGGGCAUGACCCUUCUCCAUGUGCCCUGUGAUUUAGGGGUUGGGCAAUGAUUGUGAAUUCCUCCAGUCUCUCCGGGCG